rnacentral:rRNA from 1 species
AACGAACGCUGGCGGCAUGCCUAACACAUGCAAGUCGAACGAAGGCUUCGGCCUUAGUGGCGCACGGGUGCGUAACGCGUGGGAAUCUGCCCUUGGGUUCGGAAUAACGUCGGGAAACUGACGCUAAUACCGGAUGAUGACGUAAGUCCAAAGAUUUAUCGCCCAAGGAUGAGCCCGCGUCGGAUUAGCUAGUUGGUGAGGUAAAAGCUCACCAAGGCGACGAUCCGUAGCUGGUCUGAGAGGAUGAUCAGCCACACUGGGACUGAGACACGGCCCAGACUCCUACGGGAGGCAGCAGUAGGGAAUAUUGGACAAUGGGCGAAAGCCUGAUCCAGCAAUGCCGCGUGAGUGAUGAAGGCCUUAGGGUUGUAAAGCUCUUUUACCCGGGAUGAUAAUGACCGUACCGGGAGAAUAAGCUCCGGCUAACUCCGUG